rnacentral:lncRNA from 1 species
CCAUUGGACUAAUCCCAUCUCAAUUUUUUUUUCAAAAUAAUAAUAUAUUUAUUUAUUUUUUAAAAAUUAAAUAUUUACUAUAUUAUAAUUAUUUUUAUAAUUUUUUAAUAAUUUAAUCAAAAUAUUAAUUUAAAUAAAAAUAUUUAUUGUUUACUUUUUAAAUUUAAUGCUAAAUUAUUUUUAAAAAAUUUUAAAAAUAAAUAUUU